CCCACUCUCUGUCGCCCAGUCCAACAUCCCUCGCGUCCGCCUCACCUGCCGGCCGCCGCCGUAGGGCAAUCAUCACGGCAUCAACGCCGGACUCCUCAUCCCGCAUCCAUCCAUCCCUCGCAGCCGCCUCAAACAUCGCCGGCCCUAACCUCGGACCCGCAGCCCGAUGCCUGGCGCGUGCCCGCCACCGACCAAGCCGUCGCGUGCCCACGGCCGCACGCAGCCGAGCUCCGACGGGACCACGCACCGCCGCCGCCUACCCUGAAGCCGCGUCGCCAUUGAUCAUCGUUGUAUCUUUAUCCAACCCGGCCACGAUGAUGUCUGCCACCCUCCAGCCGCCGUCCGCGGUCCACGCCGCCCGCACCGCCGCCAUUCAGCCGCAGUCCGCCGUCGACCCCGCGCUCUCCAGCCGCACUCCGUGACGCAAUCCCCAGACGGAGUCCAUCCCCCGGUCGCCGCGAUGCAAUCCCCAGGCGGAGUCCAUUCCCCGGCCGCCGCGAUGCAAUCCCCAGGCCUAAUCGUCGUUGUUUCGUUUUAUAAUCGCUUUGCCUGUUGCUUUAUGUCCUUUUGUUUUCAUGGUGCGGUUCAGCGAUCAAUUCAUUAGAACUUUUUACAAGAAGAAGGUCAUCGAUCUAAGCCCAAUGUUGGAGACAAGCAUGGCUGGAUUCUUCAAGUUGAGGAUUGGCUACGGUUAAUUCAUUAAUGGAACCUAUGAAAUUAAAAAAUUCAUGCUCCAGGGUGAGACCAGUGAAUGGUAGAGGUAGAGUUCUUCCAUCCAAUCCCACCGAUGACAAUUGGAUUGAUGUCUUAUCUCCCGUCAAAUUUAGGUAAAUUAUCCGUAUAUCAUCUGCAUGUAGGUAAAUAUAUUGUGACAUGAACUAAAUCCUGCUAACUUUACAGCAAUUACAAUUGAUAGUGUCCAGUGUUUCCUUUGAUUAUCUGACACAUAUCUCAUAUUGUUGUGCUUUGUUCCAGAUAGGAUGAUAUAUGUGCAGCUAGCUCAAUAUAGUUCACUUGGGGGACAGGAGGUACUAGAUGGAAUAUUUUAUUUCAAACUAUGAUAUGAACUUCCUAGAUAACCAUGACCAUUUUAUUUCAAAAAUGUUGGUUUUGUUAUACUUAUACUUGCAUGACUUCUGUCUUCUGUAUAUUUUUUUCGAUAAAGGUUAUGCAACUUAGGCAUGAGAAGUUACAGCAAUGUUGUGUGUCAACCAUGCUUAUAUUAUAAUUAGUACCCCUUUUGCCGUUUUGGUAUUUUGGCACAUCACAGCAACCUACAUGUUCCUAUGACGUGAUAUUGCCGAGUGAAUUUUGUAUCAACUGCACCCUUCCUGAAGGAAAGAAAUGGUAGAAGAAUAAAGAAGUAAGUAGGGAGGGAGAUCACGGCCUCCAAGGCAACACAUCAAGUAUUUUACCUCCUUGCCAAAGUAGAAGAGGCUGCAGACAAACAUAUAGGUGGACCCAUCAGAUUGUUAGUAGCCAUACUCUUAAGCAUCUAUGUGCUGCAAAAGUUGUGUAUACUACAUAAACAAGCCACCUAUGUUUUUCCAGUGUAUCCGUGAUCUGUAGUUUUGUACUAAGGUGAGCAUGAUACAACCAAGAGAUGUGUGUUUCUAGCCUAAACUCAAUAUGGAUGGUUAGUCAUGUUACUUGGUUUGGAAGAUCCAUGGCUGAUAACGAAGUGCAGUUUUGAUUUCAAAAUUUACUGCACACGAGGCAACAUUGCCUUCGAUAGUAGUGUACAAAUAGAAGUUCAGGAGUCCUCUAAUUUUUUGUUUAUGCUCUUUGGA